GAUUAGCCUGCAUGUAUAAGUUCCAGCUCAAUACGCUGAAACCGCGAAUGGCUCAUUAAUCAGCUAUGGUUCCUUAGAUCUUACAUCCAUACUUGGAUAACUGUAGUAAUUCUAGAGCUAAUACAUGCCACUUAAGCCCCUUUUUCGGAAGGGGUGGAUUUAUUAGAAUAAAAACCAACCGGUUUCGGCCGUCGGUUUGAUGACUCUGGAUAACUUUUCUGAUGGCAAUGCCUUGUGCAUGCCACGUAUCUUUCAAAUGUCUGCCCUAUCAACUUUCGAUGGUAGGAUAUUUGCCUACCAUGGUUAUAACGGGUAACGGGGAAUCAGGGUUCGAUUCCGGAGAGGGAGCCUUAGAAACGGCUACCACAUCUAAGGAAGGCAGCAGGCGCGCAAAUUACCCACUCUCAGCAAGAGGAGGUAGUGACAAAAAAUAACGAUGCAGGACUCUAAAUGAGGCCCUGUAAUUGGAAUGAGAACAAUUUAAAUCCUUUAGCGAAUACAAAUGGAG
rnacentral:rRNA from 1 species